UAUAAAUUUAUUAAAUUAUUUAUUGAAUUAAUAUUUAAAAUAAAAAAUUUAUUUUUAUUAUAAAAAAGAAAAAUUAAAGUUUAUUAUAGUGAAUUAGUAUUGAAAAAGAAUAUUUUAAAAUAUUAAAAGAAAAAUUAAAUUUUUGUACCUUGUGUAUCAGGGUUGAUUUAUUAAUUAUUAAAUAUUUAGUUUUCUCGAAUUUAAAAGAGCUAAUUUUAUAUAAAUUUUAUUGUUAAAUAAAUAUUUAUAAUAUAAAAUUAGAAAUGAAACGUUAUUCGUUUUUAAAUAUAUCUAGUUUCUUAAGAAAUAAAUUUAAUUUAAAAUUUAUAAAUAUAUUUAUAUUUAUAUAUUAAUAUGUUAAUAAAAUUAAAAAAUUUUGGGGAUGAGCUUAAAGUUUUAUUUUUAAAAAAUUUUUAAUUAUAGUAAAUUUGUAGGAUUAAUAAUUUUCAUCAUUAAAAUUUUGUUAUAAUUAGUUUAUUAUUUUAAAUUAUUUGUAUGAUUUUUAAAUUUUAUAUUAAGAUUAUAAUUUAAACUUAUUAAAUUAUGUAAUAAUGAUUAAAUUAGUAAAAAUUUUUUUAUAUUUAAAAAAAAUAUAAAAGGUAUAAAAAAGGAAUUCGGCAAAUUUAUUUUUCACCUGUUUAUUAAAAACAUGGCUUAUUGUUAUUUUAAUUUUAAGUCUAGCCUGCCCACUGAAGUUUUAAAUGGCCGCGGUAUUUUGACCGUGCAAAGGUAGCAUAAUCAUUAGUUUUUUAAUUGAAAGCUUGUAUGAAUGGUUGGAUGAAAAAAUUUCUGUCUCUUUUAUAAUAUUUGAACUUUAUUUUUAAGUUAAAAAGCUUAAAUAAAUUUAAAAGACGAGAAGACCCUAUAGAGUUUUAUUUUAUUUUUUUAAAUGAUUUUUGGAAUUAAUUAAUUUUUUAGAAAUAUAAAAUUUAAUUGGGGUGAUUAAAAAAUUUAAUAAACUUUUUUUUGUUAUUAACAAUAAUAAUUGAAAUAUUGAUCCAUUAUUAAUGAUUAUAAGAUAAAAUUACCUUAGGGAUAACAGCGUAAUUUUUUUUGAGAGUUCAUAUUGAAAAAAAAGAUUGCGACCUCGAUGUUGGAUUAAAAUUAAUUUUUGGUGCAGAAGCUAAAAAUUUUAAGUCUGUUCGACUUUUAAAAUUUUACAUGAUCUGAGUUUAAACCGGCGUGAGCCAGGUUGGUUUCUAUCUUUAAAUUAUUAAAAUAUUUUAGUACGAAAGGACCAAGUAUUUAAUUUAAAAUUUUUUUUUUGAUUAAUAUU
rnacentral:rRNA from 2 species